rnacentral:misc_RNA from 1 species
UUGAAGUGUUAAAGCUCUUAUGAGCAAUAACCUCUAAGUCAACAAGUCGAAGUGUCGCAUAUAACUUGUUGCAAGCUCACCUAGCUUACUUACCUGACUUGGUGAUCUUUAGAUCACCGUAAGCGACACUAAAGUCAGGGUAAGCUAUUACUGAUACCUGUAAGGGGGUCUUGUAUCAUCCAAAGCGGUAUUCAGUAAACCCAGUACUUUUAAGGAGAUUCACAUUUACCUGAAUCAUCCACAGCAGUACUUAGCCUUUGCGCUAUUUUUCUUCUUUGUGCCUAUUAAGUAAAUAAACAAAAUAUACC